CUGGAAGGGCGCUGCCUACACAUGCAGUCGAGCGGACAGAUGAUAUCUUGCUCCCUGAUGUUACCGGCGGAUGGGUGAGUAACGCGUGGGUAACCUGGCUGUAAGACUGGGAUAACUCCGGGAAACCCGGGCUAAUACCGGAUGGUUGUUUGAACCGCAGGAUUCAGACAUAAUACGUGGCUUCGGGAACCACUUACGGAUGGACCCGCGGCGCAUUAGCUAGUUGGUGAGGUAAGGGCUCACCAAGGCCACGAUGCGUAGCCCACCUGACAGGGUGAUCGGCCACACUGGGACUGAAACCCGGCCCAAACUCCUACUGGAGGCUACUGUAGGGAGUCUUCCGCACUGGACCAACGUCUGACCGAGCAGCGCCACGGGAUUGAUGAAGGUUUUCUGAUCGUACAGCUCUGAUGUUAAGGAAAAACAACUAGCGUUCGAAUAGGGCGGUACCUUGACGGUACCUAACCCGAAAGCCACGGCGAACUACGUGCCAUCAGCCACGGUAAUACGUAAGUAGCUAGCGUUGUCCGUAAUUAUUGGGCGUAGAGGGCUCGCAGGCUGUUUCUUAAUUCUGAUGUGAAAGCCCCCGGCUCAACCGCGGAGGGUCAUUGCAAACUGCCUAACUUGAGUGCAAAAUACGAGAAUGUAAUUACGAGUGUAGCGGUGAAAUGCGUAUAGAUGUGGAGGAACAGCAGUUGAGAAGGCAACUCUUUGGUCUGUAACUGACGCUAAUGACCUGAAACGUGAGGAGCGAACAGGAGUACAUACCCUGGUAGUCCACGCCCUAGACGAUCAGUGCUAAGUGUUAGGGGGUUUUCCCCCCCUUAGUGCUGCACCUCACGCAUUAUGCACUCCGCCUGGAGUAGUACGGUCCCAACACUGACACUCAAACGAAUUGACUAGUUCCACGCACAAGCGGUGAAGCAUGUGGUUUAUUUCGAAGCAACGCAAACAACCGUACAAGGUCUUGACAUCGUCUGACAAUCCUAGAAGAUUGGAC
rnacentral:rRNA from 1 species